rnacentral:rRNA from 1 species
AUUGAACGCUAGCGGCAGGCCUAACACAUGCAAGUCGAAAGAGUGGCGGACGGGUGAGUAAUGUCUGGGAAACUGCCUGCUGGAGGGGGAUAACUACUGGAAACUGUAGCUAAUACCGCAUACCAUCGGAUGUGCCCAGAUGGGAUUAGCUAGUAGGUGGGUUAAAGGCUCACCUAGGCGACGAUCCCUAGCUGGUCUGAGAGGAUGACUAGCCACACUGGAACCUAGACACGGUCCAGAUUCCCACGGGAGGCAGCCGUGGGGAAUAUUGAACAAUCGGCGCAAGCCUGAUGCAGCCAUGCCGUGUGGUUUAAGAAGGCCUUCGGGUUGUAAAGUCCUUCCAGCUGGGAGGCGUUACUCGCAGAAGAAGCACCGGCUAACUCCGUGCUAGCAGCCGCGGUAAUUC